AGAGUUUGAUCCUGGCUCAGGAUGAACGCUAGCUACAGGCUUAACACAUGCAAGUCGUGGGGCAGCGGAUGCUUAGCUUGCUAAGCAUGCCGGCGACCGGCGCACGGGUGAGUAACGCGUACCGAACCUGCCCAUCACACAGGGAUAGGCUUGCGAAAGCAAGAUUAAUACCUGAUGGUCUCAGUUGUAUGCAUGUAUAAUUGAGUAAAGCCUUCGGGCGGUGAUGGAUGGCGGUGCGUCCCAUUAGGAAGUUGGCGGGGUAACGGCCCACCAAUCCUUCGAUGGGUAGGGGUUCUGAGAGGAAGGUCCCCCACAUUGGAACUGAGAUACGGUCCAAACUCCUACGGGAGGCAGCAGUGAGGAAUAUUGGUCAAUGGGCGAGAGCCUGAACCAGCCAAGUAGCGUGCGGGAUGAAGGCCCUUGUGGUCGUAAACCGCUUUUAUCAGUGAAUAAAGUGCAUCACGUGUGGUGUCAUUGCAGGUAGCUGAAGAAAAAGGACCGGCUAAUUCCGUGCCAGCAGCCGCGGUAAUACGGAAGGUCCGGGCGUUAUCCGGAAUUAUUGGGUUUAAAGGGAGCGCAGGCGGGAGUGUAAGUCAGCUGUUAAAUAUCAGAGCCCAACUCUGUUAUGCAGUUGAAACUAUAUUUCUUGAGUACGCACAGGGAUGGCGGAAUUCAGGGUGUAGCGGUGAAAUGCUUAGAUAUCCUGAAGAACUCCGAUCGCGAAGGCAGCCAUCCGGAGCGUAACUGACGCUGAGGCUCGAAGGUGCGGGUAUCGAACAGGAUUAGAUACCCUGGUAGUCCGCACGGUAAACGAUGGAUGCCCGUUGUCAGGCUGUAUCAGUCUGGUGACCAAGCGAAAGCAUUAAGCAUCCCACCUGGGGAGUACGCCGGCAACGGUGAAACUCAAAGGAAUUGACGGGGGCCCGCACAAGCGGAGGAACAUGUGGUUUAAUUCGAUGAUACGCGAGGAACCUUACCCGGGCUUGAAUUGCAGUCGCUGCCCACAGAGACGUGGGCUUCCCUUCGGGGCGUCUGUGAAGGUGCUGCAUGGUUGUCGUCAGCUCGUGCCGUGAGGUGUCGGCUUAAGUGCCAUAACGAGCGCAACCCCUUUCCUUAGUUGCCAUCAGGUGAUGCUGGGCACUCUGGGGACACUGCCACCGCAAGGUGUGAGGAAGGUGGGGAUGACGUCAAAUCAGCACGGCCCUUACGUCCGGGGCUACACACGUGUUACAAUGGCGCAUACAGAGAGUCGGUGGCAUGCGAAUGCCAUCCAAUCCUUAAAGUGCGUCUCAGUUCGGACUGGGGUCUGCAACCCGACCCCACGAAGCUGGAUUCGCUAGUAAUCGCGCAUCAGCCAUGGCGCGGUGAAUACGUUCCCGGGCCUUGUACACACCGCCCGUCAAGCCAUGAAAGCCGGGGGUGCCUGAAAGCCGUGACCGCGAGGGUCGGCCUAGGGUAAAACCGGUGAUUGGGGCUAAGUCGUAACAAGGUAGCCGUACCGGAAGGUGCGGCUG
rnacentral:rRNA from 1 species